CAGUAGCCACGGUAAUACGGAGGGUGCAAGCGUUAUCCGGAUUUAUUGGGUUUAAAGGGUCCGUAGGCGGACUUAUAAGUCAGUGGUGAAAGCCUGUCGCUUAACGAUAGAACUGCCAUUGAUACUGUAAGUCUUGAGUAUAUUUGAGGUAGCUGGAAUAAGUAGUGUAGCGGUGAAAUGCAUAGAUAUUACUUAGAACACCAAUUGCGAAGUCAGGUUACCAAGAUAUAACUGACGCUGAGGGACGAAAGCGUGGGUAGCGAACAGGAUUAGAUACCCCCGUAGUCCCUGUCUCUUAUAC
rnacentral:rRNA from 1 species